UUUUCAAUCAAGCCUCAGCCUCAGUUUUGCAUGUUAUCAGUAAUGAAAACAAAUGGUACAAUGUCUACACAGUGGGAUGAAAUGAAAAAGCAUGACAAGCACUGUGAAUACAAGCAACGUGUCAGGACAACAGGCAAGCUGAUAACUAAGAUGGCUAUGUGGCAGAUGGGAGUUACACAGAGAGAGGAGCGACAGAGAGAAGGCUUCCAUCUGAUGGUGCACUCCCCAAUUGUCCACAACAGCCAGAGAUGUGCCAUUCUGAAGCCGGGAACCAAGAGCCUCUUCCGGGUCUCCCACACAGUAACUGUUUCACCCUGAGAGGCAGUGUUCUCUCAUGAGAUCCAGAGAUUGACAUUUCUGUGGACUUAAUCUAUAUGUCCAAGGACACUUCAAAGAUACCAAGGUGUUAUCUAUGCUGAGAUAACUUAAAAUAUGUUUUGCACUUUCUCUUCUAUUGACUGAUUUGGAAAUGGCAAAACAAAAUUAAAACAAAAGGAAUCCAAGUACUUGUUAUCACUGAGCAUCAGAGACAUAAGCGGAGGGAGCAGCUGCAUAACAGUGAGUACGCCUUUGCAGUUAACACCUGGGUUGUUCUAUUUAUAGAAAGAUAUCACAAGUUUAAACACAGAGGAAAAUGGCUCACAAAUCCAAUAAAAUUUAGAAUGCACAACUACCAGCAAUAUCAGGGGAUUUUCUCACAAUAUUUUUGCCAACAAAUCAAUAACAUGAGUAAAUCCUUCUGCACUAUGAGCCAUCAAAUGCUCACUAACAGGUACUACUGCCUAAAUUAAUAUAAUCCCAGAAGCGCUAUGUGUGUUUCAAAGCUAAUACUACUGAGACUUAAAAUUCACAUGUGAUAAGCUGGAGGAUAUUUCUUAAUAAUGGUUUAAAUAAAAGGAAAUUAUGUGAAGAUUUUGAAUUAAAUGCUCCCACAAUGAGUGGGCUCAGUUUAAAUUGCUCUUAUCUCUAGGUGGCAUGUUUCUCAUUGUCCAUAUUUCUUCACACUGCAAAGAAAAUAGCAAGUAUUUUAUUAAAAAUGUAUUACUUGCUUUACUAAAACCUGUGACUGCCUGUCACUUCUGUUGUAAUGAUUGUGUUAGACAGCAUGGCUCACAGAAUCGGCUGUCAUCACUCGCACUUUCAGAAUCAGAUCAAAACUCACUACCUCUCUGGAACUGGCUGAAACUCCCUGAGGAAAAUCAAUGGCUUCCACCUUUCUUGUUCACUAGUCUCUCACAGCACUCAUCACACUAUUUUGUGAGCACUCUUUCUGGCACCUGAAUGCAGCAACAGAACCUGGCAUGUAUUGUACUGUAUUUGUGAACGCAACUCAAGUAGGUAACACAGUGUAAAAAAAAAAAA